AAAACCACUUUGAGAUCUUAAAACUUUUACCCGAAGGAGCUGCAGGCUACAAAAGAUGAGCAGCAACCCGGGAGGGUCUACCCCUCAACGGUCGCUGCGAAUGCGGCCUUGGAGCAACAUGGCAAGACGACAGUGUGGAGGGCAGGGCUGGGAGCCAUAGAGAAGAGGACAGGGCAAUUCCUUCAAGGGUGGGGGCGCUCCCAGCACCCACCUGGCCAAAUGGCAUCAUCGCUGUCAUCAGAGCCUGCUUUGCAUCUUCUGUUCUUCCCUUCUCUGAAGAGGAUGUUGUCCUGUGCUUGCCCUAUCUGCACCCCACCACUGGAUCCGGAAGUGUGUUGUGUGUCUAUACUGGGGUGGAGAAAGGAAGGACACGAUAACUUGUUCUUUUAGGCAUCGGUUUCCAGAUCACAGGGAGUCACAGAGGACCUGGAGGAGAGAAUCCUGUGUGUGCUGGAGAUCCCGAACUGUGGCGGAGGCCCCAGGAGGCAGUGAUGGUGUGGACUCAGCUGCCUCUCCGGGAAGCAGCUGCUGACUGGAUACAGAUGUCCAAGGCCAAUGAGGAAGCCAUGUGUCAAAGAUGGCAGGGGGCAGGGCAUGGUGGCUUACACCAGUAAUCCCAGCACUGUGGAAGGCUGAAGCAGCUGGAUCACUUGAACCCAGGAGUUUGAGACCAGCCUGGGCAACAUAGUGAGACACCAUCUCUACAAAGAAUUUAAAAACUGGGCCAGUCGUGAUGGCUCACGCCUGUAAUCCCAGCACUUUGGGAGGCUGAGGCAGGCAGAUCACAAGGUCAGGAGUUCGAGACCAGCCUGGCCAACACAGUGAAACCCUGUCUCCACUAAAAAAUACAAAAAAUUAGCUGGGCGUGGUGGCAGGCGCCCAUAAUCCCAGCUACUCGGGAGGCUGAGGCAGGAGAAUCGCUUGAACCCAGGAGGCGGAAGUUGCAGUGAGCCGAGAUCGCACCAUUGCCCUCCAGCCCGGGCAACAGUGUGAUGAGACUCCAUCUAAAAAAUAAAUAAAUAAAUAAAUAAAUAAAUAAAUAAAUAAAUAAAUAAAAUAAAAAACUAGCUGGGCACAGUGGCUCACAUCUGUAGUUCCAGCUACUUGGGAGGCUGAGGUGGGAGGAUUGCUUGAGUCCAGGGGGUUGAGGCUGCAGUGAGCAGUGAUUGCACCACUGCACUCCAGUCUGGGUGGGUGACAGAGCAAGACUCUGUCUCAAAAAACAAACAAAAAAAAACUUUUGUGACUUUGUGGAACUCAGGCCAACUGGAUUUCCUAUGAAGAAAUACACUUCUAUUACAUUAAGCCACUGAAACCUUGGUGUUUGCCUGUAAUAGCAGCUGGUGUCACCUUAACUAGAGUUGAAGCCAUGGGAGCAGAGCAACCAGAGCAGGGAGAGGCAGGAAGAGAACUGAGGCAGGACCCUGGGGACACCUCAUUAAAGAGCGGCUGACACGGAGGUGGCACAAAGGAGACUGAGAAGGAAGCAAGAGGAGGAUGAGGGCAGAGUGGCCUUCUGGAAGAAAAGGAAUGUGGUGGCCAGGCAUGAUGGCUCACGUCUGUAAUCUCAGCACUUUAGG
rnacentral:lncRNA from 1 species